AGAGUUUGAUCAUGGCUCAGAUUGAACGCUGGCGGAAUGCUUUACACAUGCAAGUCGAACGGCAGCACGGACUUCGGUCUGGUGGCGAGUGGCGAACGGGUGAGUAAUAUAUCGGAACGUAUCCAAUAAUGGGGGAUAACUAAGCGAAAGCUUGGCUAAUACCGCAUACGCCCUGAGGGGGAAAGCUGGGGAUCUUCGGACCUAGCGUUGAUGGAGCGGCCGAUAUCUGAUUAGCUAGUUGGUGGGGUAAAGGCCCACCAAGGCGACGAUCAGUAGCUGGUCUGAGAGGACGACCAGCCACACUGGAACUGAGACACGGUCCAGACUCCUACGGGAGGCAGCAGUGGGGAAUUUUGGACAAUGGGCGCAAGCCUGAUCCAGCCAUUCCGCGUGAGUGAAGAAGGCCUUCGGGUUGUAAAGCUCUUUCGCAAGGGAAGAAACGUUACGGGCGAAUAACCCGUGAUAAUGACGGUACCUUGAUAAGAAGCACCGGCUAACUACGU
rnacentral:rRNA from 1 species